rnacentral:misc_RNA from 1 species
CAGAAUUACAAGAGAUCUUUGAAGAGAGGUCAUCGGAUAUAGUUUUAGCGCUCUUCUUUAUGUAUGAUGUAUAGGCAAAUGGACAUGUAAAAUAUGAAUGGAUAAUACUGUACUGAUAAUGAUAGAAAAUUGGAGUUAUGUAAUAUUUGAAAUAUGAAUGUUUAUGUGAGCUCUUUUGGGAGUGUAAUAUUUGAAACAGUACAGAUGUUAAAGGUAUGUUCAUAGGCUUUAGGCUUGCUACGGGUUCUGACAACCUUAAUCUGACUUGAUCCUAAGAACCGAUAACAGCCCCUAGCUUGGGUAAUUACACACAGCCUCUUGGUCCCUGAUGG